rnacentral:lncRNA from 1 species
CGCCCGGCCACGAGUGCUGCUCUGUUUUCAAGGAGCCGCCUCUGCCAGCUGCUCCUCUCCAGGCCUUCUCCAACGAUCUGCCCACUAAAAGGUGAAAACAACAAAAACAAAAACAAAUUUUCCCACAAAAUCAAUUUCUUACAUCACAAAUUUAAUGAGCAUGAUUAUAGCUUGACUGAUGGAAAAUAAGUAAGCAGGGUCUUCUACCAUAAUUCAUUAGCUAAUGCAUGUUAUGCAUGCAUGUAUAUAUGUGUGCCCACUUUGUUCCAGACAGGAUUCAAAAUCACUUACAAAGGAAAAUACGAUACUUUAGUUAAUUGAUUCUCUGGCUUUUCUUGGAAAUUUGCAUUCUUCUUUAGAAUAUAAAGUGCUGGAUUGGCAGCAGAAGAAAACGAGAACAGAACCCCCCUUACCUGCUGCAGGGUUUGGACAGGCUGCUAGGCCUCAGGUUCUCCUGCUGAAUGAACCCUUUGUACCAUCUGUGCAUAACUGACCGGGGCCAGGAGGAACUAUGGAAAUGCUGCCUCAGCCCGAAUGUCAAUUCUACAUUCCAGCAGAAUGUCUCAAACAUCACAUGUACUUUAAGGGAAUUCAGUUUUCAACCAGCUCCUACAUGACAUCCACCUGCCUUAGCCUCCCAAAGUGCUGGGAUUGCAGGCAUAAGCCACCGCGCCAGGCCGAGUGAGCCUUCUUGCACGGUGUGUCUUCUUGCCCUUUGACCUUCUUCAUCAUGUAUGUUAUGAUGCAGCACAAAAGCUCUCACCAGAAACCAGGGCCAUGCUCUUGAACUUCUCAGCCUGCAGAACUGUGAGCUAAAUAAACCUCUUUUCUUUAUACAUUACCCAGACUCAAGUAUUCUGUUUUAGCGACACAAAAUAGACUAUGAUGGAAGAUUGGUAUUGAGCAGUGGGGUCUUUUUAUAAAGGUACUUGAAAAUGUGGAAGCCAGUGUGGAACUGGGAAAUGGCCACAGGUUGAAAGAGUUUGGAGGAGCUGGCUAGAAAAGCACUGCAUUGCCCUGAAGUGGGCAUUAAGGAUAAUUCUGGUGAGGGCCCAAAGAAGACAAAGAGAUUAGGGUAAGUUUGGAAUUUCUUGGAGACUAGUUAAGUUAUUGUGACCAAAAUGUUUAUAGAAUUAUGGACAGUAAAGGCCAUUCUGAUAAGGUCACAGAUGGAAAUGGGAAGUAUCUAUUUGGAAACUGGAACAAAGGUCACACUUGUUACAAAUAUUUGUAUUUAUGCCCUAAGGCUUUAUGGAAGGUUGAACUUAAGAGGGAUGACCUAAGAUAAUCUGGCGGAUGAAAUUUCUAAGCAGCAAAUCACUCAAGAAGUGGUGUGGUUACUUUCAACAGCUUAUGCUCAGUUAUGGCAGCAAAAGAAUGACCUGAAGGCAGAAUUUACAAUUAAAAG